AACGAACGCUGGCGGCAUGCCUAACACAUGCAAGUCGAACGAGACCUUCGGGUCUAGUGGCGCACGGGUGCGUAACGCGUGGGAACCUGCCCUUAGGUUCGGAAUAACUCCCCGAAAGGGGUGCUAAUACCGGAUACUCUCUUCGGACCAAAGAUUUAUCGCCUUUGGAUGGGCCCGCGUUGGAUUAGCUAGUUGGUAGGGUAAAGGCCUACCAAGGCGACGAUCCAUAGCUGGUCUGAGAGGAUGAUCAGCCACACUGGGACUGAGACACGGCCCAGACUCCUACGGGAGGCAGCAGUGGGGAAUAUUGGACAAUGGGGGAAAGCCUGAUCCAGCAAUGCCGCGUGAGUGAUGAAGGCCUUAGGGUUGUAAAGCUCUUUUAGCCGGGAAGAUAAUGACAGUACCGGGAGAAGAAGCCCCGGCUAACUCCGUG
rnacentral:rRNA from 1 species